rnacentral:rRNA from 1 species
CCUACGGGAGACAGCAGUGAGGAAUAUUGGUCAAUGGCCGAAAGGCUGAACCAGCCAAGUCGCGUGAGGGAUGACGGCCCUACGGGUUGUAAACUUCUUUUGUCGGGGAGCAAAGCGAACUACGUGUGGUUCAUUGCGAGUACCCGAAGAAAAAGCAUCGGCUAACUCCGUGCCAGCAGCCGCGGUAAUACGGAGGAUGCGAGCGUUAUCCGGAUUUAUUGGGUUAAAAGGGUGCGCAGGCGGAGGUGCAAGUCAGCGGUCAAAUUGCGGGGCUCAACCCGGUACUGCCGUUGAAACUGCAGCCCUUGAGUGCGCGGAAAGUAGGCGGAAUGCGUGGUGUAGCGGUGAAAUGCAUAGAUAUGACGCAGAACCCCGAUUGCGAAGGCAGCAUGCUGGCGCGCAACUGACGCUCAUGCACGAAAGCGUGGGUAUCGAACAGGAUUAGAUACCCGUGUAGUC